UACGUAGGUGGCAAGCGUUAUCCGGAAUUAUUGGGCGUAAAGCGCGCGUAGGCGGUUUCUUAAGUCUGAUGUGAAAGCCCACGGCUCAACCGUGGAGGGUCAUUGGAAACUGGGAAACUUGAGUACAGAAGAGGAAAGUGGAAUUCCAUGUGUAGCGGUGAAAUGCGCAGAGAUAUGGAGGAACACCAGUGGCGAAGGCGACUUUCUGGUCUGUAACUGACGCUGAUGUGCGAAAGCGUGGGGAGCAAACAGGAUUAGAUACCCCU
rnacentral:rRNA from 1 species